AAAGAGGGGGGUUUGCCUAGUGUUUUUUUUUGACACUCAGCAAAAAAAUAAUUUUUUUUCCGCUUUUCGCCAUGAAAUUUUUUCUACUCCCCACAUACAACAUGUGGUACUCCAUGUUAAAAUUUGGUAUAUUUUUGGAUUUAUUUGCUAUAUUUAUUUAAUUAAUUGAAUUUCAAGGAAAUUUUUGGUAUAAGUCAAAUUUGAACUGCAAAUGAUUCAAAUUAUGGAACAAAAUGAGUAGAAAAAUGAUAUUCAUAUUAUUCGGCCCUAUUUGAGACCUGACCCAUGAAAUGACAAGAAAUUUCGAACAUCUUGUUCAGGAAACACGACCACGAACGUGUGGC
rnacentral:lncRNA from 1 species